rnacentral:lncRNA from 1 species
UUGUCUAACCUUAGCGAGGAGGCUCCAGUUACCAUCACGGUACCCGGGCCGAUUCCCUAUGACAAAGAUGAUGCCGUACCAUGGCAUUAUGGUGGGGAGAUGUACUGUAAUGGUGAGAAGGUUGAAGAGCAAUCUGCUAGUGAAACCACCGUGCUAAAGGUGGAUAAUGCCGGUCCCAGUGGUUUCACUCGCAGUGGAAGGUUAUUUGCUCCGGAUGCGUUGAGAAGGGGAGAGGAAGAAAAA